AGCAUAUCAAUAAGCGGAGGAAAAGAAACCAACAGGGAUUGCCUCAGUAACGGCGAGUGAAGCGGCAACAGCUCAAAUUUGAAAUCUGGCCUCUUUGGGGUCCGAGUUGUAAUUUGGAGAGGAUGUUUCGGGCACGGUCCGGGCUUAAAUUUCUUGGAACAGAAUGUCACAGAGGGUGAGAAUCCCGUCUGGAGUCCGCGACACGACCUAUGUGAAACUCCUUCGACGAGUCGAGUUGUUUGGGAAUGCAGCUCUAAAUGGGUGGUAAAUUUCAUCUAAAGCUAAAUAUUGGCCAGAGACCGAUAGCGCACAAGUAGAGUGAUCGAAAGAUGAAAAGCACUUUGAAAAGAGAGUUAAACAGUACGUGAAAUUGUUGAAAGGGAAGCGCAGGCAACCAGACUUGCGCGUCGGGGUUCCCCCUUGCUUCUGCCUGGGUUACUCCCCGGCGUUCAGGCCAACAUCGGUUUCGGGGGUUGGUUAAAGACCCUGGGAAUGUAUCUACCCUGCGGGGUAGACUUAUAGCCCAGGGUGUCAUGCGACCUCCCGGGACCGAGGAACGCGCUUCGGCUCGGAUGUUGGCGUAAUGGUUGUCUGCGGCCCGUCUUGAAACACGGACCAAGGAGUCUAACAUCUAUGCGAGUGUUAGGGUGUCAAACCCUUACGCGGAAUGAAAGUGAACGGAGGUAGGAAGCCUUAAGGCUGCACUAUCGACCGAUCCUGAAGUUUACGGAUGGAUUUGAGUAAGAGCAUAGCUGUUGGGACCCGAAAGAUGGUGAACUAUGCCUGAAUAGGGUGAAGCCAGAGGAAACUCUGGUGGAGGCUCGCAGCGGUUCUGACGUGCAAAUCGAUCGUCAAAUUUGGGUAUAGGGGCGAAAGACUAAUCGAACCAUCUGGUAGCUGGCUCUGCGA
rnacentral:rRNA from 1 species